rnacentral:rRNA from 1 species
UACGGAGGGUGCAAGCGUUAGUCGGAAUUACUGGGCGUAAAGCGCACGCAGGUGGCUGAGUCAGUCGAUUGUGAAAGCCCUGGGCUUAACCUGGGAAUUGCAGUCGAUACUACUCAGCUAGAGUAUGGGAGAGGGUAGUGGAAUUCCCGGUGUAGCGGUGAAAUGCGUAGAUAUCGGGAGGAACAUCAGUGGCGAAGGCGGCUACCUGGCCCAAUACUGACACUCAGGUGCGACAGCGUGGGGAGCAAACAGG